rnacentral:rRNA from 1 species
UGUAGGGUGCGAGCGUUAAUCGGAAUUACUGGGCGUAAAGCGUGCGCAGGCGGUUUUGUAAGACAGGCGUGAAAUCCCCGGGCUCAACCUGGGAACUGCGCUUGUGACUGCAAGGCUAGAGUACGGCAGAGGGGGGUGGAAUUCCACGUGUAGCAGUGAAAUGCGUAGAGAUGUGGAGGAACACCAAUGGCGAAGGCAGCCCCCUGGGUCGAUACUGACGCUCAUGCACGAAAGCGUGGGUAGCAAACAGGAUUAGAUACCCUGGUAGUCCACGCCCUAAACGAUGUCAACUAGGUGUUGGGUGGGUAAAACCAUUUAGUACCGGAGCUAACGCGUGAAGUUGACCGCCUGGGGAGUACGGCCGCAAGGUUA